AUGUAAAUUUUUGUGUGAAUUUUUAUUUAUUUUAAUAAUAAAUAAUUUUUAUUUUAAGUCGCAGUAAUUAGUAUUAUUAAUUAAAAGAAAUUUAGAGAUAGUAAUAUUAAAGAGUAUUGGCAAAAUUCGUGCCAGCAGUCGCGGUUAUACGAAUAAUACAAAUAAAUUUUUUCAGUAAAAGUUAAAUUUUUUAUUAAAAUAUAAGUAAUUUUAUUAGGUGAAAUUUUAAAUUUAUAUAUUUUUAAAAAUAAAGUUAUUGAAGCUUGGAAUUUUAUUAAUAACUAGGAUUAGAUACCCUAUUAUUUAAAAUGUAUUUUAUUUACCUAAAGUAGUAGUAGUUAUGUUCUUGAAACUUAAAAAAUUUGGCGGUAUUUUAGUCUAUUCAGAGGAACCUGUCCUAUAAUCGAUAAUCCACGAUGGACCUUUCUUAAAUUUGUUAUUCAGUUUAUAUACCGUCGUUAUCAGAAUAUUUUAUAAGAAUAAUAAUUUUCUAGAAUUUCUAUAAAAAUUUAUAUCAGAUCAAGGUGUAGCUUAUAUUUAAGUAGAGAUGGGUUACAAUAAAUUUAUUUUUGGAUAUAAAUAUGAAAAAUUUAUUGAAAUUGGAUUUGAUAGUAAAAUUAUAAAGAUUAAUAAUUUGAUUUUAGCUCUAAAAUAUGCACACAUCGCCCGUCGCUCUUAUUAUUAAGGUAAGAUAAGUCGUAACAUAGUAGAUGUA
rnacentral:rRNA from 1 species